rnacentral:lncRNA from 1 species
AAAAUUCAGACACCAAGAUGGUAACCCCCAUGGAUCUUCACAGAGCUUCAAGACAAAGUUUUUGACACUCAACAGAAGGUGAAGCUUACAGACAUACCGACCAAACAGCUAAACAGAACAAAAAAGCAUGCACAUCUUACAGAUGCAGAGAUCAUGACUUCGGUGGAUGAGACUAAUCUGUAUGAAGCUGUAGGAUAUAUGUAUGAAGAUGAAGAAUGUUUAUUCUUCAAUCCAAGGAGGCAGUUCACAAUAAACUGUUAGAAAGUCAGAAAAUAGCAGAAGAAAAAAAAAUUAAAGAACUAAAACAGAAAAAAAUCCUACCUAGAGCAGAAUGUUAAGGAAGCUGAGGGCAACAUCUGGGAGAUGCUGAUGGCACAAAGGGCCCAG